UCCUAACAGCUCAGUUGGUAAAGAAUCUGCCUGUGAUGCAGGAGACCCUGUUUCAAUUCCUGGGUUGGGAA
rnacentral:tRNA from 1 species